GAUGAACGCUGGCGGCGUGCCUAAUACAUGCAAGUCGAGCGAAUGGAUUAAGAGCUUGCUCUUAUGAAGUUAGCGGCGGACGGGUGAGUAACACGUGGGUAACCUGCCCAUAAGACUGGGAUAACUCCGGGAAACCGGGGCUAAUACCGGAUAACAUUUUGAACCGCAUGGUUCGAAAUUGACAGGCGGCUUCGGCUGUCACUUCUGGAUGGACCCGCGUCGCAUUAGCUAGUUGGUGAGGUAACGGCUCACCAAGGCAACGAUGCGUAGCCGACCUGAGAGGGUGAUCGGCCACACUGGGACUGAGACACGGCCCAGACUCCUACGGGAGGCAGCAGUAGGGAAUCUUCCGCAAUGGACGAAAGUCAGACGGAGCAACGCCGCGUGAGUGAUGAAGGCUUUCGGGUCGUAAAACUCUGUUGUUAGGGAAGAACAAGUGCUAGUUGAAUAAGCUGGCACCUUGACGGUACCUAACCAGAAAGCCACGGCUAACUACGUGCCAGCAGCCGCAGUAA
rnacentral:rRNA from 1 species